UUAGGGGGCGCACCUGAUGUCCCCGCUCCGGGGGGGGAGAGCGCCUUGGGGGUGUAGGGCUGUCACCUUUUACCGUUGAAGUGUAGGGUCUUUAGUUUAAUACCUUGGGAUGUUGACCUUUCCGCCGAAAAAAAACCCGGGUACUUCGGGGCCAGCGGCCCGCGGUAUUACGGGGGGGGCAGGGGUUAUUCGAAUUUAGGGGACUUAAACCCCCCAGGAAGGGGGGCUGCUUAAGUCGAAGGAGAAAUCCCCGACUUUUACCUGUGGGACUUGCUUUCAAUCCCGGUUACCUAAAUUGUGGAAAAGGAGGGUGGAAAUUUCCAGGUACCGUUAAAUUGCUUAAAGGUCUGAAGAAAUUCCGUAUGGCAAAGGCACCCCCCUGGCCUAAAAGUGCACUUAAGGUGCAAAGGCGUGGGUAGCAAACAGGAUUAAUUCCCCGGGAAUUCCAUUCCGAAAACAAAUGCCAACUGGCCGUUGGGCGCCUUUGAGGCUUAAUGGCCAAAACUAACCGCUUUAAUUCAUCCCCGCCUGGGGAAAUUCCCCCCCCCCCAAGAGUAAAACCUCAAUUUGAAUUUGGCCGGGGGGCCCCCCCACAGGGCGGGGGGGAGCCUUUGUGUUUUUAGUUCCAAACCCAACCCUGAAAAAUCCCUUUCCCCUGGCCCUUCAAAAUUAUCUAAAAAAUUUUUCCAAAAUGGGGUUCCGGGCCCCCCCGGAAACCUUAAAAACCGGGUGAAUCCUUGGGUUUUUCCCCCGCGCGUUUUGGGAAGAGUUUGGGCUUUAAACCCCCCAAAAAAAAAACCAAACCCCUUUUUUAAUUUUUUUUCCCCCGCCCAAACCGAAGUCCCGGGAAAUUUAUUAGACCCCUCCCCGUUUAAAAAAAGGGGGGAAGAAGGGGGGGGAAAAAAAAACCAAGGUUCCCUUUUGGCCCCCUUUGAGACCCGGGGGUCCCACCCGGGGUUUUAAAAAGGGGGGAAAAAUCAAGCGGGUGUCCCCCCCCCCCGGGUGGGAUUCUCAUAAACCCAAAAACCCCCCUCUUUUUCCCCCUGCUGGAGUUCUCCCCCCCACCCCCCCCCCCGAAAUUCCGGAAAGCCUGGGAAAUCCCUGGAUCUUGAAAAACCCCGGGGAAAAAAAUUUUCCGGGGUGCUUUUUCCCCACCCCAGCUUCCCAGGAGGGGGGUUAUUUCCCCCCCAAAAAAAUUUGCCCCCCCUUUGCCGGGGUUCCGCCUCUCGGUUUUAACUUUUAGGUCUAUGUUAGUCAGGGUAUUCCUUUCUGUUCUUAAUAACACCCCUUCGGGGCCCUACACCCUUCUCCCGUUAAUUUCCCCCCUCGGUAUACACGCUUGCUCACCCCCUUGUUCUCUACCUGAACACACAAUCUCAGCCUACUUCCCCUCACACCCUCCCCGAAGAAAAGACCCUAGCCCCAGCCUUUUUCACCACGCUCGCGUGAUCCUCCUUCCCCUCCUCUUGAUUCCUGUGUCCUCUUCUGCCUGCA
rnacentral:rRNA from 1 species